AGAGUUUGAUCCUGGCUCAGAACGAACGCUGGCGGCAGGCUUAACACAUGCAAGUCGAGCGAAGUCUUCGGACUUAGCGGCGGACGGGUGAGUAACGCGUGGGAACGUGCCCUUUGCUACGGGAUAGUCCUGGGAAACUGGGUUUAAUACCGUAUGGUGUCUACGGACUAAAGAUUUAUCGGCAAAGGAUCGGCCCGCGUUGGAUUAGGUAGUUGGUGGGGUAAUGGCCUACCAAGCCGACGAUCCAUAGCUGGUUUGAGAGGAUGAUCAGCCACACUGGGACUGAGACACGGCCCAGACUCCUACGGGAGGCAGCAGUGGGGAAUCUUAGACAAUGGGGGCAACCCUGAUCUAGCCAUGCCGCGUGAGCGAUGAAGGCCUUAGGGUUGUAAAGCUCUUUCGCUGGGGAAGAUAAUGACGGUACCCAGUAAAGAAGCCCCGGCUAACUCCGUGCCAGCAGCCGCGGUAAUACGGAGGGGGCUAGCGUUGUUCGGAAUUACUGGGCGUAAAGCGCGCGUAGGCGGAUUGGAAAGUUG
rnacentral:rRNA from 1 species